CAGUCGCCGCGGGAAUACGGAGGGUGCAAGCGUUAAUCGGAAUUACUGGGCGUAAAGCGCACGCAGGCGGUUUGUUAAGUCAGAUGUGAAAUCCCCGAGCUUAGCUUGGGAACUGCAUUUGAAACUGGCAAGCUAGAGUGUGUCAGAGGAUGGUGGAAUUCCCGGUGUAGCGGUGAAAUGCGUAGAGAUCGGGAGGAACAUCAGUGGCGAAGGCGGCCAUCUGGGACAACACUGACGCUGAGGCACGAAAGCGUGGGGAGCAAACAGGAUUAGAUACCCCUGAGUCCCUGUCUCUUAUACA
rnacentral:rRNA from 1 species